rnacentral:rRNA from 1 species
CAAGUCGAACGAUGAAGGGGAGCUUGCUCCUUGGAUUAGUGGCGAACGGGUGAGUAACACGUGAGUAACCUGCCCUGGACUCUGGGAUAACCCCGAGAAAUCGGAGCUAAUACCGGAUAGGACCUGGGACCGCAUGGUUUUGGGUGGAAAGAUUUUUUGGUUUGGGAUGGACUCGUGGCCUAUCAGCUUGUUGGUGAGGUAAUGGCUCACCAAGGCGUCGACGGGUAGCCGGCCCGAGAGGGUGACCGGCCACACUGGGACUGAGACACGGCCCAGACUCCUACGGGAGGCAGCAGUGGGGGAAUAUUGCACAAUGGGCGCAAGCCUGAUGCAGCAACGCCGCGUGAGGGAUGACGGCCUUCGGGUUGUAAACCUCUUUUAGUAAGGAAGAAGGGCCCUUUGGGGCUUGACGGUACUUGCAGAAAAAGCACCGGCUAACUACGUGCCAGCAGCCGCGGUAAUACGUAGGGUGCGAGCGUUGUCCGGAAUUAUUGGGCGUAAAGAGCUCGUAGGCGGUUUGUCACGUCUGCUGUGAAAUCCCGAGGCUCAACCUCGGGUCUGCAGUGGGUACGGGCAGACUGGAGUGCGGUAGGGGAGAAUGGAAUUCCUGGUGUAGCGGUGGAAUGCGCAGAUAUCAGGAGGAACACCGAUGGCGAAGGCAGUUCUCUGGGCCGUAACUGACGCUGAGGAGCGAAAGCGUGGGGAGCGGACAGGAUUAGAUACCCUGGUAGUCCACGCCGUAAACGUUGGGCGCUAGAUGUGGGGACCUUUCCACGGUUUCCGUGUCGUAGCUAACGCAUUAAGCGCCCCGCCUGGGGAGUACGGCCGCAAGGCUAAAACUCAAAGGAAUUGACGGGGGCCCGCACAAGCGGCGGAGCAUGCGGAUUAAUUCGAUGCAACGCGAAGAACCUUACCAAGGCUUGACAUGACCGAGAACGCCGCAGAAAUGUGGAACUCUUUGGACACUCGGUUACAGGUGGUGCAUGGUUGUCGUCAGCUCGUGUCGUGAGAUGUUGGGUUAAGUCCCGCAACGAGCGCAACCCUCGUCGUAUGUUGCCAGCACGUGAUGGUGGGAACUCAUAUGAGACUGCCGGGGUCAACUCGGAGGAAGGUGGGGAUGACGUCAAAUCAUCAUGCCCCUUAUGUCUUGGGCUUCACGCAUGCUACAAUGGCCGGUACAAAGGGCUGCGAUGUCGUAAGGCGGAGCGAAUCCCAAAAAGCCGGUCUCAGUUCGGAUUGAGGUCUGCAACUCGACCUCAUGAAGUCGGAGUCGCUAGUAAU